rnacentral:lncRNA from 1 species
UUUGUAGUCACUUUUGGUCUAAAACCUUCCUGAUCUUUAAAUUCCUUUUCCCUGAAACACAAAUCUUCUCAAUUCUCUCAAAUCAAUAAACAAAACACAGGCAGACUAGACUUAUGUAGUCAUUGUUGCAUGAUAUUUAUCACCGUGAACUUUUUCUUCAACUUCCCACCAAGGUGGUCAUCUGUGAAGAUCCUGGUGAUAUCUAUGUGACCCCAGUUACUCUAGGUUCUGGUCUAUGGACUUGGGCUAUCCUUUGAAAAUCCCAAAUUGGUGCUGCCCCCCAACAUUCCUGCAUGCAAGAUCAGAUGUCAACCUGCCAAGCUGCUGCAAUUCAUUCUGUGGUUCAUAUACCAUCCAGCUGAGUGAGGCAACACUCUGA